rnacentral:rRNA from 1 species
CCUACGGGAGGCAGCAGUGAGGAAUAUUGGUCAAUGGACGAGAGUCUGAACCAGCCAAGUAGCGUGAAGGAUGACUGCCCUAUGGGUUGUAAACUUCUUUUAUAUGGGAAUAAAGUGUUGUAUGUAUACUGCUUUGUAUGUACCUUAUGAAUAAGGAUCGGCUAACUCCGUGCCAGCAGCCGCGGUAAUACGGAGGAUCCGAGCGUUAUCCGGAUUUAUUGGGUUUAAAGGGAGCGUAGGUGGGUUGUUAAGUCAGUUGUGAAAGUUUGCGGCUCAACCGUAAAAUUGCAGUUGAUACUGGCAUCCUUGAGUACAGUAGAGGUGGGCGGAAUGCGUGGUGUAGCGGUGAAAUGCUUAGAUAUCACGAAGAACUCCGAUUGCGAAGGCAGUCUGCUGGACUGUAACUGACGCUGAUGCUCGAAAGUGUGGGUAUCAAACAGGAUUAGAUACCCGAGUAGUC